AAACAAUAAUUGAAUAAUGUAGUUCACUCUGCCAGGGGGUGUGUUUGGAAGAAUGGACGUUUGGCUAGCAAUUAGGGAGCUGAGCCGAGGGCUCAGGGGGCCAAGCCAAUGGUCUUUAUUGAAUUCAACAUAGUAGGACCCAAUGGGCUUGAGUCUGAAGCCUGGUAUGUGAGGGAAAAUGAGGGAAAGAGAUUCAGACUCAAAUCAUUCUCCACUCCAAACACAUGCUCUCUCCAUUUUUCAUGAUUCUCCCUCGUUGGAAAACCUUAAGAACCCUAGAACAUUCAAACAAAACUUAAAUGACCUAAAAUGGGAGUCAAAGUUGGAGACCUCGGCGCUUUAAUUCCCCACUUCAAAGCCUACAUCCUAGUAACCAAAUUGAAGCAAAAUAAGGAGGAAAUGAAGAUCCUACCAACAGGGCGGAGAUUUUCCAUGGGAGAUGUUGAAGAGCUUGAAGACACAACUGGAGAGAAAAUGCCAGAGGAAGUAUAACCAGGUUUGGCAUGGUGAGCAUGAGGCUUUGGACAUGGUAUGGCUUAGCAAGUCAUGACACAUCAAGAUGGAAGCUAGGCAUGAAGAGAUUCUUGAAGAAACUUGGAGGCGCACAUUGAGGAACAUGAGGAUGAAGAGAAAAACUGGGCUUAGGAUUUUAGUUUGACUUUGGUCAACUGUUGUACCAAAAGUCAAUCUUAGGUGAAAAAUGGCUUUUCUUGUAUAAUUUGGUAAUUUUGGUUUUUGUAAUGUAUUUUUGAUGUUGUAAUUGAAUCUUGUCCCUUUGAAAUGUAAUUGUAACUUGUUUCUCAAGAAAAUUACUUUUUCCCCCAAUUUGAAAUAUUUGAAAUUUGCAAUC